rnacentral:lncRNA from 1 species
CCUUACAAGUGUGAAAUUUGUUCUAAGCAAUUUAGUCAAAAUAACAGUUUGAAAAAGCAUUUAAGAAUACACACUGACGAAAAGCCUUACAAGUGUGAAAUUUGUUUAAAACAGUUUACUACAACAAGUCAUUUGAAACAACAUUUAACAACACACACUCAAGAAAAAUCUUAUAAGUGUGAAAUUUGUUAUAAGUGGUUUUCUCAGGCAGGUUCUUUGAAAACACAUUUGAGAGUGCACACUGGAGAAAAGCCUUACAAGUGUGAAAUUUGUUUAAAACAGUUUACUACAACAAGUCAUUUGAAACAACAUUUAACAACACACACUCAAGAAAAAUCUUAUAAGUGUGAAAUUUGUUAUAAGUGGUUUUCUCAGGCAGGUUCUUUGAAAACACAUUUGAGAGUGCACACUGGAGAAAAGCCUUACAAGUGUGAAAUUUGUUUAAAGCAGUUUAGCCAAGCAGGUACUUUGAAAAUACAUUUGACAGUACACACUGCGGAAAACCUUACAAGUGUGAAAUUUGUUUAAAACUGUUUAGUGAAGCAGUUUUUUUGAAAAAACAUUUGAGAGUGCACAGGGGGGAAAAUCUUACUAUUAGGCCAUCCGCACACAGAGCUACUAAAAAGAAACCAGUUGGUAUGUUGGUAACUUUAGUUACCAAUCAGUUACUUCUUAGUCACUGUCCAUGUAUUUUAAUGAGUAUCCGCACACAGUGCUACAAGUUAGUAGCCGGUCUGUAAUGCGUCAGUGAUCGGUCAACAGCGGACUGGACGUGCAGGUCGCUUGGGGAGUAGUUUCUAGUUUGUUGUGAUAUUUUAAGUUCUAGUUUGUGAUAUUUUAGUUCCAGUUUGUUGUGAAGUUUAACACACGAAAUGGAUAAAACGGCACAACAGUCUAUUAUGAACUUGUAAGAAAUAUAAUAAAUACAAAUAAUACUAAUGUUUAAUUUAGCUACCGAUAUCGUAAGUAUUAUUAGUUUAGUAGUUUAAGUAGUACAUAUAUUAGUGGUUUAGAAUGUUUGCAUUUAAAGAAAUUAAAUAAAUGCUACUUCCUUACCUGAGGGUUAUUAAAUUGGACACAUUCUCGCAUUGGGGUAUCUUUCUUCUGAAUUUCAGGUACAAGCAAUUAUUGAACUAAAUGUAAAGAAGAUUCUUUUGACAUCCUAUAAAAUGCAAGAAAUUUAGCAUCAUUUUUUUUGUAAUUCUUUUGCAGCAACAAAGGCUCUGCAAUUUAUAUUGUUUGCAAUAUAGGGAUGAACCCAAUACCUCCUUUUUUUCUGCUUUUUACGUCUUCUGUUAUAUUAAUAAAGAAAAUAUCUUCAUCACUUAAUCACUAGAUAUUUUUAACGCGAUAAUAACACUCAAGUAAAGGUUUAAAAUUUAAACAUCGUAUAACAAAGCUACCGGUACCUACAGUCAAGAAAUGAUUCGUUUUUAUUAAUUUUCAGUAGCGUCGUGUGUGAGCCAUAGUUAGGAACCCGUUGGUAAUUCUAGUUACCAACUAGUUUAGUUUCUUUUUAGUAGCUCUGUAUGCGGACGGCCUUAGGUGCGAAGUUUAUUGUGAGCAAUUUAUUCAAACAAGUAAUUUGAAAAUGUGAGAUUGGUUUGCACACUGUGAAUUUUGUAAAGUAAUUCUAAAAUAAAUAUUGUGUUCUAA